ensembl:rRNA 5S_rRNA 5S ribosomal RNA
GUCUAUGGCCAUACCACCCUGAUGGUAUGUGCUGAUCUCAUCUGAUCUCAGAAGCUAAGAGGGUCAAGCCUGGUUAGUAUUUGGAUGGGAUACCACCUGGGAAUCCCGGGUACUGCAGGCU